AGUCGUAGUCUCUCUAGUUGUGUCUCCCUUUGUUAUCUGGUUAGGCUAGUCUGGUGUCCCUGCGUAGGGGAACUACGUCGCCCUGAUCCUCAAACCAGAUGAGGUACGUAGGCAGGAGAUGAGAUGAUCUCUUCGGGCGCCCUUUUGUUUUGUCUCUUGUGUGAGUUGGAGUCUGACAUAAGUCCAGCGAUUGGCAGUCGGUUUCCUUUGUGUUUGC
rnacentral:lncRNA from 1 species